GAUGAACGCUAGCGGCAGGCUUAAUACAUGCAAGUCGAGGGGCAGCGCGGGUAGCAAUACCUGGCGGCGACCGGCAAACGGGUGCGGAACACGUACGCAACCUUCCCAUAACUGGUGAAUAGCCCUCCGAAAGGAGGAUUAAUACACCGUAACAUAACGAAGAGGCAUCUUUUUGUUAUUAUAGUAGCAAUACGGUUUUGGAUGGGCGUGCGCCUGAUUAGGUAGUUGGCGGGGUAACGGCCCACCAAGCCUGCGAUCAGUAACUGGUGUGGGAGCCCGACCAGUAACACGGGGACUGAGACACGGGCCCGACUCCUACGGGAGGCAGCAGUAAGGAAUAUUGGUCAAUGGACGAAAGUCUGAACCAGCCAUGCCGCGUGAAGGAUUAAGGCCCUCUGGGUUGUAAACUUCUUUUAUCUGGGACGAAAAAAGGGCAUUCUUGCUCACUUGACGGUACCAGAGGAAUAAGCACCGGCUAACUCCGUGCCAGCCGCCGCCGUAA
rnacentral:rRNA from 1 species